AGCGGCGAACGGGUGAGUAACACGUGGGUGACCUGCCCUCCACUCCGGGAUAAGCCUGGGAAACCGGGUCUAAUACCGGAUAGGACCUCUGGGUGCAUGCCUGGUGGUGGAAAGUUUUUUCGGUGGGGGAUGGGCCCGCGGUCUAUCAGCUUGUUGGUGGGGUGAUGGCCUACCAAGGCGACGACGGAUAGCCGGCCUGAGAGGGUGAUCGGCCACACUGGGACUGAGACACGGCCCAGACUCCUACGGGAGGCAGCAGUGGGGAAUCUUGCGCAAUGGGCGGAAGCCUGACGCAGCAACGCCGCGUGAGGGAUGACGGCCUUCGGGUUGUAAACCUCUUUCGCGAUCGACGAAGGUCCGGUUUUUGCUGGGCUGACGGUAGGUCGAGAAGAAGCACCGGCCAACUACGUGCCAGCAGCCGCGGUAAUACGUAGGGUGCGAGCGUUGUCCGGAAUUAUUGGGCGUAAAGAGCUCGUAGGCGGUGUGUCGCGUCGGCCGUGAAAACCUGGGGCUCAACUCUGGGCGUGCGGUCGAUACGGGCAUCACUUGAGUUCGGCAGGGGAGACUGGAAUUCCUGGUGUAGCGGUGAAAUGCGCAGAUAUCAGGAGGAACACCGGUGGCGAAGGCGGGUCUCUGGGCC
rnacentral:rRNA from 1 species